rnacentral:rRNA from 1 species
AGUGGCGGACGGGUGAGUAACACGUAAGAAUUUGCCUUUAGGAGGGGGACAACAACUGGAAACGGUUGCUAAUACCCCAUAUGCUUUCGAGUGAAACGGAUUUCUCCGCCUAAAGAGAAGCUUGCGGCUGAUUAGCUUGUUGGUGAGGUAAUGGCUCACCAAGGCGACGAUCAGUAUCUGGUUUGAGAGGACGAUCAGACACACUGGAACUGAGACACGGUCCAGACUCCUACGGGAGGCAGCAGUGGGGAAUUUUCCGCAAUGGGCGAAAGCCUGACGGAGCAAUACCGCGUGAGGGAUGACGGCCUAUGGGUUGUAAACCUCUUUUUUCAGGGAGGAAUCAAAUGACGUGUACCUGAAGAAUAAGCAUCGGCUAACUCCGUGCCAGCAGCCGCGGUAAGACGGGGGAUGCAAGUGUUAUCCGGAAUCACUGGGCGUAAAGCGUCUGUAGGUGGUCAAAUAAGUCAACUGUUAAAUCUUGAGGCUCAACCUCAAAAUCGCAGUCGAAACUAUUAGACUAGAGUAUAGUAGGGGUAAAGGGAAUUUCCAGUGGAGCGGUGAAAUGCGUAGAGAUUGGAAAGAACACCGAUGGCGAAGGCACUUUACUGGGCUAUUACUAACACUCAGAGACGAAAGCUAGGGUAGCAAAUGGGAUUAGAUACCCCAGUAGUCCUAGCCGUAAACAAUGGAUACUAGAUGU